AAGAACGCUGGCGGCAUGCCUAACACAUGCAAGUUGAGCGAGAACCAAGGGGCUUGCUCCUUGGGGACAGCAGCGCACGGGUGAGUAACGCGUGGAUAACGUGCCCUAGGGUUGGGAAUAACCCACCGAAAGGUGAGCUAAUACCGAAUGUGUUCCGAGGAAGUGCGCUUCUUCGGAAGAAAGCGGGGCAACCCGCGCCCAAGGAUCGGUCCGCGUUCCAUCAGCUAGUUGGUAGGGUAAAGGCCUACCAAGGCUACGACGGAUAGCUGGUCUGAGAGGAUGAUCAGCCACACUGGGACUGAGACACGGCCCAGACUCCUACGGGAGGCAGCAGUGGGGAAUAUUGGUCAAUGGGCGAAAGCCUGAACCAGCAAUGCCGCGUGAGUGAUGAAGGCCCUCGGGUUGUAAAGCUCUGUCAGCGGGAACGAAUAAGCCGGUUAAUACCCGGUGAUGACGGUACCCGCAAAGGAAGCACCGGCUAACUCUGUGCCAGCAGCCGCGGUAAUACAGAGGGUGCAAGCGUNGUUCGGAAUUACUGGGCGUAAAGCGCGUGUA
rnacentral:rRNA from 1 species